AAGCCAUUAGCCCCCAUGCGUGAGAGGGCAAGUGAAGGAAACAGCAGCAUCAGAGCCCAGUGAGGGCUGAGAGUGGAAAGAAGAGCUGCCUGGCCAUAGUGUGGUCCUGGGAGGAUGCAAAUGCUGCCCAAGACACAAUGCCAAUGCAGGAAGGAGGGAGCAAGGAAGAAAUAGCUAGAACUCCUUCCUCUUGCUCACAGAUUUCCUGCCAGUGCCUCACAUUGGCCAAACCCAACUGGUAGCUAGCCAUCAAGGGAGCUCAGGUAAUAGAGUUCUCAUGGGACAGCCUCCUGGGACGAAUAAUGGUCAGAGAGAAUAACCGGUACACCCCAAACACUGGGGAUCUCUCACCUCCACAUCCCCUGAUGAAGAUCUUUAGAGAAGCUGAAUCUAGCUGUCCAGCCCGAGGGGAACCCUCCAGGGCCAGCCCAGGAGUGAACACAGCCUGUGUUUCCACUUACAAGCAUGCUCUCUUGGGGCUAUUCUGAGUGUGGAGUGAAGACACCUAGCAACCCUCUUCUAUUAUGUUGAUUCAACCAAGACAGGCUCUGCAGGAGCAAGGUCGCCUUACCUGGACUGCCACGUGUUAGUAAGGAACCCUCUUCUGAAGACUCAGAGAGCACAGGCCUAUUGUGAUGUGUGGUUAAACCUCGCUGAUCAGUUCCUAGGUACCUCUGUCUACGCAGCCUCUUUGUAAGUCUCUUUCUGAGACAUGGAGUCUGACCAUGCUUGCACAGAUCAUCAAUUACUUCAUCUCUCCUCCCUCCAAUCACCUAUCUCCACACUUCAGACCACCCUGCCCCCUACCCGGAGAAGCAUCUCUUCCUAAACGAAGGAUUAAUUACUGACCUACUUGUGACUUUGUCACCACUCACCUGUGACCACCAACCUACCGUGUUCACCAAUCUGCUGUGCCAGCAAAGCAAUCUCAUCACUAUUGUUAAAGGGACAUUCCUGUCAUAUGUGAUGUAUGCUCGUUGUUCGAAGACAGUAUGUAACCACUUUGUACACCCGACUUCUUUGGUGCCCUUCCUUCCUUGGGAAAGGUGCCAGGCUAAUUCUCAAUCUGGCUCAUAAUAAACUCACC
rnacentral:lncRNA from 1 species